rnacentral:rRNA from 1 species
AUUGAACGCUGGCGGAAUGCUUUACACAUGCAAGUCGAACAGCAGCACGGACUUCGGUCUGGUGGCGAGUGGCGAACGGGUGAGUAAUGUAUCGGAACGUGCGCAGUCGUGGGGGAUAACGUAGUGAAAAUUACGCUAAUACCGCAUACGAUCUAUGGAUGAAAGCGGGGGAGCGCAAGACCUCGCGCGAUUGGACCGGCCGAUAUCAGAUUAGGUAGUUGGUGGGGUAAAGGCCCACCAAGCCAACGAUCUGUAGCUGGUCUGAGAGGACGACCAGCCACACUGGAACUGAGACACGGUCCAGACUCCUACGGGAGGCAGCAGUGGGGAAUUUUGGACAAUGGGCGAAAGCCUGAUCCAGCCAUUCCGCGUGCAGGAUGAAGGCCCUCGGGUUGUAAACUGCUUUUGUACAGAACAAAAAGGUUUCUACUAAUACUAGGAGCUCAUGACGGUACUGUAAGAAUAAGCACCGGCUAACUACGUGCCAGCCGCCGCAGUAA